rnacentral:ncRNA from 1 species
GUCGGCGUGGUCACCCUUAAACCGCAGACGGUCACCCUCACCAACGAGCUGCCGGGACGCACGAGCGCGUUCCGCAUGGCCGAGGUGCGCCCGCAGGUGGACGGCAUCAUCCUCAAGCGCCUGUUCCAGGAAGGCGCUGAUGUUAAAGCGGGCCAGCAGCUGUACCAGAUCGA